UACGUAGGGACCAAGCGUUGUUCGGAUUUACUGGGCGUAAAGGGCGCGUAGGCGGCUUAACAAGUCACUUGUGAAAUCUCCGGGCUUAACUCGGAACGGCCAAGUGAAACUGUCAAGCUAGAGUGCAGAAGGGGCAAUCGGAAUUCUUGGUGUAGCGGUGAAAUGCGUAGAUAUCGGAAGGAACAUCAGUGGCGAAAGCGACUUCCUGGACCAGUACCGACGUUCAGGCACGAAAGCGUGGGGAGCAAACAGG
rnacentral:rRNA from 1 species